AAUGAACGCUGGCGGCAUGCCUAACACAUGCAAGUCGAACGAAGGCUUCGGCCUUAGUGGCGCACGGGUGAGUAACGCGUAGGAAACUGCCUAUUGGUGGGGAAUAACGACGGGAAACUGUCGCUAAUACCGCAUAAGCCCUUCGGGGGAAAGAUUUAUCGCCGAUAGAUGUGCCCGCGUCCGAUUAGCUAGUUGGUGAGGUAAUGGCUCACCAAGGCGACGAUCGGUAGCUGGUCUGAGAGGAUGAUCAGCCACACUGGGACUGAGACACGGCCCAGACUCCUACGGGAGGCAGCAGUGGGGAAUAUUGGACAAUGGGCGAAAGCCUGAUCCAGCAAUGCCGCGUGAGUGAUGAAGGCCUUAGGGUUGUAAAGCUCUUUCGGGUGGGACGGUGAUGACGGUACCACCAGAAGAAGCCCCGGCUAACUUCGUGCCAGCCGCCGCGGUAA
rnacentral:rRNA from 1 species